rnacentral:rRNA from 1 species
CUGGCCUUGACAUGCAAGUGGUAGAACCAUGAAAGUGGGACGACCCCGCAAGGGGAGCUUGCACAGGUGCUGCAUGGCUGUCGUCAGCUCGUGUCGUGAGAUGUUGGGUUAAGUCCCGCAACGAGCGCAACCCUUGUGUCCUGUUGCCACUCCCUCGAGAGAGGGAAGCACUCUGGACAGACUGCCUCGCUUAAACGAGGAGGAAGGUGGGGAUGACGUCAAGUCAGUAUGGCCCUUACGGCCAGGGCUGCACACGUACUACAAUGCAUGGCACAAAGGGAAGCUAGACCGUCAGGUGGAGCAAAUCCCAAAAAACCAUGCCCAGUUCAGAUUGUCGUCUGCAACUCGACGACAUGAAGCCGGAAUCGCUAGUAAUGGCGCAUCAGCUACGGCGCCGUGAAUACGUUCCCAGGCCUUGUACACACCGCCCGUCACAUCAUGAAAGCCGGUUGUACCCGAAGUCCACUCUGUUAACCGCAAGGAGACAGUGGCCGAAGGUAUGGCUGGUGAUUGGGAUG